rnacentral:misc_RNA from 1 species
GAUGAAGAACGCAGCGAAAUGCGAUACGUAAUGUGAAUUGCAGAAUUCAGUGAAUCAUCGAGUCUUUGAACGCACAUUGCGCCCCCUGGUAUUCCGGGGGGCAUGCCUGUCCGAGCGUCAUUGCUGCCCUCAAGCACGGCUUGUGUGUUGGGCCUCCGUCCUCCUCCCGGGGGACGGGCCCGAAAGGCAGCGGCGGCACCGCGUCCGGUCCUCGAGCGUAUGGGGCUUCGUCACCCGCUCUUGUAGGCCCGGCCGGCGCUUGCCGACACAUCAAUCUUUUUUCCAGGUUGACCACGGAUCAGGUAGGGAUACCCGCUGAACUUAAGCAUAUCAAUAAGCGGAGGA